GUUAGUCACGGCCAGCGGCGGGGAGAGGCGGGGAACAGCCCGAGACAAAGGCCGGGGAGAUGAUGGGAAUUCGGCGCUGCCGCUGCCUCCCCUUGUCUGGCCAUGAAGCGGGGUAAAUUCGCGCUCCUUUUACCGGGGACGAGCACCCCAUCCCUGCCCUGGGCUUGGUCAUCCCGGGACAAGGAUUCCUCCGCCUUUGCAGGAAGAGGGAAGUGGCGGCGUUUCCUCACACAGGGAUGUGUUCUACAGGCUCCGGGAGUGGGUGCCAGAAUUUGGCCCAAGGAGCCUGGCAGGAGCUGCUGGAUCACUUUCACUGAGUGGAAUGGAGCUGUCAGGCUCUGCUCGGGGGGUGCUGCCAUCAGCCCCACGGAACAUUCCCUGCACUCUGUGACUACUUCCUCCAGCAAGACCGGUUUAAUUCCAGAGCAAUUCUCGGGCUAAGGAAGAGCUAAAUUGCUUGGCAGGAUAAUGGGGGGAGAAAGAACCUGUCAGGAGCAUGGAGCCUGGC